rnacentral:snRNA from 1 species
GCUUGCUUCAGCACUGCAUAGGUUAAAAUUGGAAGAUACAGAGAUGAUUAGCAUGGCCUCUAUAGAAGGAUGACAUGGAAAUUUGUGAAAUGUUCCAUGUUUAA